GAUAUCUCUACUUGGGUAGA
rnacentral:tRNA from 1 species